rnacentral:rRNA from 1 species
UGGGGAAUUUUGGACAAUGGGCGAAAGCCUGAUCCAGCAAUGCCGCGUGUGUGAAGAAGGCCUUCGGGUUGUAAAGCACUUUUGUCCGGAAAGAAAUCCUUGGCUCUAAUACAGUCGGGGGAUGACGGUACCGGAAGAAUAAGCACCGGCUAACUACGUGCCAGCAGCCGCGGUAAUACGUAGGGUGCAAGCGUUAGUCGGAAUUACUGGGCGUAAAGCGUGCGCAGGCGGUUUGCUAAGACCGAUGUGAAAUCCCCGGGCUCAACCUGGGAACUGCAUUGGUGACUGGCAGGCUAGAGUAUGGCAGAGGGGGGUAGAAUUCCACGUGUAGCAGUGAAAUGCGUAGAGAUGUGGAGGAAUACCGAUGGCGAAGGCAGCCCCCCUGGGCCAAAUACUGACGCUCAUGCACGAAAAGCGUGGGGAGCAAACAGGAUUAGAUACCCUGGUAGUCCACGCCCUAAACGAUGUCAACUAGUUGUUGGGGAUUCAUUUCCUUAGUAACGUAGCUAACGCGUGAAGUUGACCGCCUGGGGAGUACGGUCGCAAGAUUAAAACUUAAAUGAAUUGACGGGGUCAUAGCUGUUUCCU